AUCGCUUCUCGGCCUUUUGGCUAAGAUCAAGUGUAGUAAAAUCAGCUGCCCUUAGCUUGCCACAUCUUGAGUUAUUAGUGAUUAAUAAGUUAAUAACAAGUGUGAAUAUCAUUAAUGUAUCUAUAAUUAAUUUCUUUAGUAACACCUUACAUUUUAUUAUUCAUUCCUCAGAUGAAGAGUUUUCCAAAU